rnacentral:rRNA from 1 species
UACGUAGGGUGCAAGCGUUAAUCGGAAUUACUGGGCGUAAAGCGUGCGCAGGCGGUUUUGUAAGUUUGUCGUGAAAUCCCCGGGCUCAACCUGGGAAUUGCGAUGAAGACUGCAAGGCUAGAAUCUGGCAGAGGGGGGUAGAAUUCCACGUGUAGCAGUGAAAUGCGUAGAGAUGUGGAGGAACACCGAUGGCGAAGGCAG